rnacentral:rRNA from 1 species
UACAGAGGGUGCAAGCGUUGUUCGGAAUUAUUGGGCGUAAAGGGCGCGUAGGCGGUGCGGUAAGUCUUUUGUGAAAUCUCCGGGCUCAACUCGGAGUCUGCAGGAGAAACUGCCGUGCUUGAGUAUGGGAGAGGUGAGUGGAAUUCCUGGUGUAGCGGUGAAAUGCGUAGAUAUCCAGGAGGAACACCCUGUGGCGAAGGCGGGUCUCUGGGCCGGUACCGACGCUGAGGAGCGAAAGCGUGGGGAGCGAACAGG